UUAAGUUCACUGCCUGGGGAGUACGGUCGCAAGGCUGAAACUUAAAGGAAUUGGCGGGGGAGCACUGCAACGGGAGGAGCGUGCGGUUUAAUUGGAUUCAACGCCGGAAAACUCACCAAGGCCGACUGUUAGAUGAAGAUCAGCGUAAUGAGCUUAUCGGAUUUUCAGAGAGGUGGUGCAUGGCCGUCGUCAGUUCGUACUGUAAAGCGUUCUGUUAAGUCAGAUAACGAACGAGACCCUCAUCUUUAUUUGCUACCCCAUUCCCCGGAAUGGGCGCACUAUAGAGAGACCGCUGGUGUGAAACCAGAGGAAGGCGAGGGCAACGACAGGUCAGUAUGCCCCGAAUGUCUUGGGCUACACGCGCGCUACAAAGGACAGGACAAUGGGAUGCUAGGCCGAGAGGCAUUCACGCUAACCCGAAACCUGUUCAUAGUUCGGAUUGAGGGCUGUAACUCGCCCUCAUGAAGCUGGAUUCCGUAGUAAUCGUGUUUCAAUAUAGCACGGUGAAUAUGCCCCUGCUCCUUGCACACACCGCCCGUCAAACCAUCUUAGUUGGGGGUGGGUGAGGCUGCGCUUUAUGGCGUAUUCGAGCCUGCCUUCGACAAGGAGGGUUAAGUCGUAACAAGGUAUCUGUAGGGGAACCUGCAGAUG
rnacentral:rRNA from 1 species